rnacentral:rRNA from 1 species
AUUGAACGCUGGCGGCAUGCCUUACACAUGCAAGUCGAACGGUAACAGGUCUUCGGAUGCUGACGAGUGGCGAACGGGUGAGUAAUACAUCGGAACGUGCCUAGUAGUGGGGGAUAACUACUCGAAAGAGUGGCUAAUACCGCAUGAGAUCUACGGAUGAAAGCAGGGGAUCGCAAGACCUUGUGCUACUGGAGCGGCCGAUGGCAGAUUAGGUAGUUGGUGGGAUAAAAGCUUACCAAGCCGACGAUCUGUAGCUGGUCUGAGAGGACGAUCAGCCACACUGGGACUGAGACACGGCCCAGACUCCUACGGGAGGCAGCAGUGGGGAAUUUUGGACAAUGGGCGCAAGCCUGAUCCAGCAAUGCCGCGUGCAGGAUGAAGGCCUUCGGGUUGUAAACUGCUUGAGUACGGAACGAAAAGCCCAGGGGGAAUACCCUGGGGUCAUGACGGUACCGUAAGAAUAAGCACCGGCUAACUACGUGCCAGCCGCCGCAGUAA